rnacentral:lncRNA from 12 species
CCCAUGGGGUCUCUGAACAGCCAUCUCUCUACCUCUGCCUCCAGGUGAGUCCUCCACCUGCUUAAAAUGCAGACAUUCCCAAGUCCUGGCUCAGCUUUCCCCCUGUGUGACGGAGAAGCAGCAACUGUGGGGAUGCCAGUGUGCGUGCGCCACGUGGACAAAGGGCAGUGUGGGACAUAAAUCUAGAAAAUUGGAAGAUUGGCUCCUUCCAGGAACUGGAACCCUUGCCACCAGCAACUUCUGCCUCACAUGUUCCCUGCUUCACUGUCUUCCUUUGGUUCUGAUUGGACAAAACUCAGGGGAGGACUUCUCAUCCUCUGGAGUUGGGUUAUGGCCUGCCCAUGCAGCCGGGACAGGGAUGGGGCUGUGUGUGUGGGGGGGGCGAGAGCAUCCUCUGAAGGCAGCCAGGCCUGCACGUCGGUGGGGGAAGGAGCAUUCUCCUGAUGAAGGGCCUUCUCUUAUGGAGGAAGAGAUGGGCACUGGGCAGACACAGCACUGUGCACCUACACAGCCCACGGGUGGUACGUGACACUUUCCCUUUGGCACAAAGGCACCCCCCCACGUCUCAGCUUCAUGAUCUGACCUUCAGGACCCAGGUUAGCAACCUUCCUCCCCACCUCCUUCCUGAAAUGAAGGGUUAGCGUCCCAGGAGGACUGCGGUUUUUCUCUCCACCUUAAAUCCACCUGCCUCUGGUCCAUUCAUAAGGAUGGACUCUCCAGUAGGUGUAAUGAAGGGGUCACCAUGAGAGAGAGUCCUAGCUGGAGGGUGGAGUGGGGGGAAGUGGAGGGACCUCACCACCUCCCUGAGGUCUCGGUGAAGGUCAGCAAUAAGCAAUCACUGCAAAUGUUCUACCCAAGACGCAUCAUCAAGAGUGAUUCAGUCUGUGCCUGACAUUUCCCACCAACCCUGAAAGCUAAGCCAGGGUUGCCUGGUGCUGCAAUAAAUGUCAUCAUUUGAGUGUUAUUAGUGGUGUC